rnacentral:lncRNA from 1 species
CUCUUGUCUCAAAGGGAAAGCAACAUAUUAUUUCUAAAACAGUAAAGUGCUGACCUAGCCAGCACCUAGCAGAAGGAUUUUAAUAAAUCAUGUUCAACUUUGAAUCCACAGUGCAUUAGAAAUAUAGUAAGUUUCACACACACAUCACUAAAUAGUCUCUGGCAGACCCUCAGCUCCCUACCUUCAAGGUCCUCUUGAUAGCCACAUACUUUGCUCUGCCCUCAGUCUCUCUCCUUGGCCAAGAGCCAAAAGGCAUCAGCAAUGAAACUGAAUACAUUGUAAAUAAAAUUCACCUUGUUGUGAUAAUAUUGAAGUACAACCCAGAGUGUAAGUAAGGUACCUGUAAGGCCACAGUGAUAUAGAAAUGAUCACAGGAGUAGGAGGGAAGAGAGAGUUUUUCUGGUUAGAUGUGGUAUUUUUGCCCAAAGGAAAUAAGAGGCUCUGUGACUCCUCAUGGUGUGGAGUGUGGGCUGCUCAUGGUAACUCUUUUCCAAAGAACAUAGUGGAGAAAAAGAGUGAAGUGCAGAGCAACUUGCCCGUGAGUGUGGUAGACAUAAUCACAGCAGAAACUAUUGGAAAUUUUUCAAUUAAAGGGCGUUUUUAUUGCAUAGUAAGAAGUUUCAGUUUAGUCUCUGACUAAUUAGUGACAUUUGAUCAUCAGUUUUGCUCAUUUAUGUCUGAUUACGUAUGGUCCCAGCUUAUUGGAACAACUCGGGUUUGCUAGAGCAUCGGUCAUGGGUUGGUUUUUCUAUGACUACAGGAGCCAUUACAUCAUCCUCUAAUUUAAACAAAAUGAUAAUAAUUGGGAGUGUGUGGAGUCUUGUAUAAUUCUAUCCUGUGUGCUCAUGAGUUUCUUAAAAUUCUUUAGAAAGUCAGAAGCUCUGAGUCAUAGCAUACCCAGUUUUGAAGUAACAGGGAAAAAAAAAUCAUUAAAUUAGCUAAACAAAUUGUCAUAGAAUAGAAACAGGAGUUUUUGAGAGUGGGCAUCCAGACUGUGUGUCUGUACGAUACACUUUAGAAACUUAGUUUGAUUAAGUUUUGUUUUUCUGAGGAUAUGAUUCUUUUCUGUAAUUACCAUUCUGUUUUCUCUGACAGGCCAUCAACCAUUGGCUGCCCUAAGCUCCCCGUGAAUUGAGUUAUUCCCAAUAAUGCUCUACAUUAUGAAGACAUUAUUCGAGUGGCUGUCCACUGUGAUCUGGUUAUUUGGAGCUUUACAUAAAGCAGGCUCCUGUUCUGCUGUCGUGCCCAAAGGUUUUGUGGCGGUUGAGUUUGUUUGGUUCUGCAAGAUCAUCCAGGCACCACAACUCUGAGGUUCUGUUCCUUCCAGGCUGCAUCGAUCUAAUGCUCAGACCUACACUGGAAGCAGAGCAUCUCUGACCUGUCAACCCCUGUUCCUGGUAGUGUCCACUGGUGAUGUUGCUCCUGACCCUGGUGGCUAGAGUUUGACCCAUUUGUCGGCUCAGCCCUCAUUCGCGACUCGGAGGAUGCUUUACACUUGAGCAUUUGUGCUACAACUAGAAUCUCAAGGGCACAAGGUUCAGACCACAGUGAAGAGAAGCACCAAUCUUGCCUCCUUGAUUGUUCACCUUUGCGUUUUGUUGGCUUCACCUUCCUUAUCUGUAAGAAAGAAAGGCGCUUGCUGAGCUUUCCUAGAAAGCACAGUUCUUUGUCCUGGACACUCCUGACAUCUUGCCAAUGUGGAGAAGGCUUAUUUACAUUACCUGUCAUCGUCUCAAGCCUUGUAGACCUGCUGCCAGGCUCCCUGCUGCUUCCACAGUCCCAGCUCGCGCUCACACCUUGACUUGCUUUUCCAAGUCACCAUCUCAGUGAUAUAAGUGAAAAUUUUCAACUCUUGUGUUCCACUAUUGUUUUGCUUUAAAACUCUAAAAGACAUCAUUAAAAUGGUGAUUUCUAGUGUAAUGUUGUCAUUAGAAGUAUUUUCUUCUUUGCAUUUUGUGCCUUGUUACUCUCUCUCUCUCUCUCUCUCUCUCUCUCUCUCUGUGUCUCUGUGUGUGUGUGUGUGUUCAGGAAAAUGCUUACAUGGGGAGGACGGAGGACAACCUCUGGUAGUUUCUCAAGUGUUACCUACCUUGUUUUAUGAGACAAGGUCUCCACUGGUGUGAAGCACUUGCCAAUUAGGUUAGGCUGGCUGGCA